rnacentral:rRNA from 1 species
AUACGGAGGGUGCAAGCGUUGUUCGGAAUUACUGGGCGUAAAGCGCGCGUAGGCGGUCUGUUAUGUCAGAUGUGAAAGCCCUCGGCUCAACCGGGGAAGUGCAUUUGAAACUGGCAGACUUGAGUACUGGAGGGGGUGGUGGAAUUCCCGGUGUAGAGGUGAAAUUCGUAGAUAUCGGGAGGAAUACCGGUGGCGAAGGCGACCACCUGGCCAGAUACUGACGCUGAGGUGCGAAAGCGUGGGGAGCAAACAGGAGUAGAAACCCUAGUAGUCC